rnacentral:rRNA from 1 species
GCCAACAGCUAGCUCUCUGCAACUCUCACAUGGUCACCUACUGAAGCUAAGCAGUGCUGCACCUAGUCAGUACCUGGAUGGGAGACCACAUAGGAAAGCUAGGUGGCUCCCGGAA